GUAACGUUACGCUAGCUAGUCAGUCAGCUAGAUAGAUAACAGUACCAGCCAGAGCUAGAAGGAACUAGCUAACGUUAGCUUGUAAAGUCAAGCACGUUUUAUAAAAACGAUUUUCGUUGUAUUAACUAACCUGUUUGGCUUUCACGUUUAUAGAUACAAGUGAGCUUAUUUGGUUGUAGACCUAACUUGGCGGACGUUAGCUAUAGCCUACAGUACACAUUCAGAUUAUUAUUUAAAAGAAUUAUUUAAUAUCUACUUUCACCUGUGCUACUUACAACUGGGUUUAAGGAGUUUGCUUAGCUGGUAAUUCGAUCUAGAAUCUGUGGUCUUUAAAACCUCUUACAUCUAGACGUUCCGCUUGCGGAACACCUGCUCCAAUAUCCAAUGAUAGGCGUGGCGCGAAUUACAAAUUCCUCAAAAAUACAAAAACUUACAUUUUUCAAACAUAUAACUAUUUUACAGCAUUUUAAAGACAAGACUCUCCUUUAUCUAACCACACUGUCCGAUUUCAAAAAGGCUUUACAGCGAAAGCAAAACAUUAGAUUAUGUCAGCAGAGUACCCAGCCAGAAAUAAUCAGACACCCAUUUUUCAAGCUAGCAUAUAAUGUCACAAAAAACAAAACCACAGCUAAAUGCAGCACUAACCUUUGAUGAUCUUCAUCAGAUGACACUCCUAGGACAUUAUGUUAUACAAUACAUGCAUGUUUUGUUCAAUCAAGUUCAUAUUUAUAUCAAAAAACAGCUUUUUACAUUAGUAUGUGACGUUCAGAACUAGCAUUCCCACCGAACACUUCCGGUGAAUUUACUAAAUUACUCACGAUAAACGUUCACAAAAAACAUAACAAUUAUUUUAAGAAUUAUAGAUACAGAACUCCUUUGUGCAAUCGAGGUGUCCGAUUUUAAAAUAGCUUUUCGGUGAAAGCACAUUUUGCAAUAUUCUGAGUACAUAGCCCGGCAUCACAGGGCUAGCUAUUUAGACACCCAGCAAGUUUAGCACUCACCAAAGUCAGAUUUACUAUUAGAAAAGUUUGAUUACCUUUGGUGUUCUUCGUCAGAAUGCACUCCCAGGACUGCUACUUCAAUAACAAAUGUUGGUUUGGUUCAAAAUAAUCCAUUGUUAUAUCCAAAUAGCGGCGUUUUGUUCGUGCGUUCAAGACACUAUCCAAGGGUGACGAAGGGUCACGCGCACGACAAAUAAUUUCUAAAUAUUCCAUUACCGUACUUCGAAGCAUGUCAACCGCUGUUUAAAAUCAAUUUUUAUGCAAUUUUUCUCGUAAAAAAGCGAUAAUAUUCAGACCGGGAAACCCUGUUUUCGUUCAAAGAUAAAACAUCGAGUCAACUCGUGCACGAGCCUGAGUCUCACAGUACUGUGAGCAGCCACUAUCCAAACGCGCUAAUGUUUUUCAGCCAGAGCCUGCAAAGCCACGAUUCAGCUUUUUGCCGCCUUCUGAGAGCCCAUGGGAGCCGUAGGAAGUGUCACGUAACAGCAGAGAUCCCCUGUAUUGGAUAGAGAUAAUCAAGAAGGGCAAGAAAUUGUCAAACAGGGCACUUCCUGCAUGGAAUCUUCUCAGGUUUUGGCCUGCCAAAUGAGUUCUGUUAUACUCACAGACACCAUUCAAACAGUUAUAGAAACUUUGGAGUGUUUUUUAUCCAAAGCUAAUAAUUAUAUGCAUAUUCUAUUUUCUGGGCAGGAGUAAUAAUCAGAUUAAAUCGGGUACGUUUUUUAUCCGGCCGUGAAAAUACUGCCCCCUAGCCAUAACAGGUUAAAUAGGAUCCAUUGAGACAUAUUAUUCACUACCUAUUGUACUUAAGGUCAGUGAAUCUUAAGUUUUUGGCACACUUGGAAAUGUUUUAGGGCUACUUCCUGUACUUCUCUUUUCCUUUAACCUUAACACUAGUCAGUGAUUGGCUUUGUUAUGAGAUGGAUGUAUUAGAUGUACAGCUAGAUGAGAUGAAGGGUCUUUUCCCAUGGUCUUUACCCCAGGUAGGCUGACAACUAGAUCAUCCAUAUGCAACAGAUCCUAAUGAACCUCAAAGGCAGACGCCAGGUCGGUUAGAAACAGCAGUAGUAAGUGAAUGGGAGAUUACCACAGAAUCAACAAAUUAACCAAAUUUCACAGUGACACAAAAUGUAAAUGACCCACACUGCCCUGUUUCCUCACCUACAUUGAAAAAAGAAAGUAAUUAUAUCAAGGUGAAAGCAGUUCUAACCAGUGGUGUUCAGGGCAGGGAAAUUGUAGAUGCUGUUCAUCUGCCAAACAUAAACCCUGGAUUACAGAAUGAACAUCAAACAGCGGCUGUUAACUUUGAUCAAAUUGCAGCCAUUUUACAAUCACAUGGUGGUUCAAAAAGGCCAAAUACUCCUGCAUGCACUCAGUGAAAGAAACUGCUUAGUGGUAUACCUCUACUACAAGCAUUGAACAUAGGAGGAAAACACUUCUUCAUCCUAUCAAAUCCACCAAGUAGUCUCUGUAGAAGGGAAAACCAACCCAUCCACACAGGGUUGUAGCCAAUUUCAAACAGUGUCGCCAACCAAUUGCCAAUUGUCAGACGGAAGUUUUCUUCCAAGCCAAAGUACUGCCAUCCUCCCUCUGCUAACCAGCCCUACUGCAGCGACCACCUUGGCUUCUGUGCAUCAGCAAUAUGUCAUUCUGCCACCCAAUUGUAAAACAUUGAACAUUUCUCCAGCUCAAAGUGAAAAGCAUAUGCCCCCCCCGUCAAGAAACCAUGUCCUGUGAGUCGCAUAAAGUUAAGAGAUCCAUACCCCAACUGCAUGAAAAUAGGUCUAGACCUCAAUGUGAGAUCAAAAGAAAAACUUCACUUGAAGUUUCUGACUAACGGCGUUAUGUUUGAGAUUCAUAACUUUGCCAACAAGGUAACAACCACUUUUCAGUAUGUUGUGUUUGAUAUUCUAGAACACAACUUUGAUCUCGGUUUGCAAAGUAAGCAACGCUGGAAAUUUGUCAGUGCUGUUACUGCGAGAUUAAAGAAAAUCAAGAAGAAAUAUAACAAUAAAAAUGACACAGUUGAAGUGUUCACACUACCUGAUCUUCAGAAGAAAGCGAAACCGAUUUCUGAAGCAUCUUUACUUGCAAAGGCUUUCCAAGACAAGGACUCAUCAAAGACAUUGAGACAGAAACUUGCUCAACAAAAGCAGUUGGAGAGAAACAAGCAAGUUAGACAAAGUAAAUAUCAGAUGGCUAGGGAGGAAGAGAAUGCCAUCAAAUUUCAUAAGGCUCACGAGGCCAUGAACAACUUUUUAAUGACUUGGUUUUAUCAUGACAGGCAAGUUACUCUUCAGAAUGCCAGUGAAACCAUUCCUAAUCAGAUGGAUGUCACGUCGUGCUCUGUUGAAACUGCAACACUUGGCAAAGAGAAAGGACAUACUGAUGUCUGUUUUAAAGAUGAGUCUGAUCCUCAUCCCAUAUCUUUUGGGCAAGUCAAGGAGGAACCCAUUUUUAGUGAGACUGCUGUCACAAAGUGUGGAGAUGAAAUGCCAACACAUGUCCAGAAGAAUGGAGGUUCUGAGAUUGAUGUAAAGGUUGAGUCUGAUCUAGGCCUACCUCUUCGGCAUAUCAAGGCAGAGACAAACUAAGACCGUUGCAACACUGUACACCGGUGAAAAGGCAAUGCCUUGCCAGAAGAAUGAGCCAACCGACAUCUGUACAAAGGAUGAGCCUGAUUUUAACCCCAAAUCUCUGCCACAGAUAAAGGAUGAGGCACCCUGGAAUUGAACUGAAGAAACACUGUACAUGGACGAAACGGCAACACCAGGCCAGACAAAUGGACUCAAUGUCGUCUCCAUUAACAAUGAGUCAUACAGCACCCUGCAUUUCAUGGUGAAGAUCAGAGGUGUGGAACAAUCCCAUUUGGUGUCUACAAUGGAUAGAACCGUGAAUAACCCAUACCCCUACUGCAGGAGAAUAGGUCUAGACCUUGAUGUGAAAUCAAAACUGGGAGUAAAAAAUAAACUUGAUUUGCGUUCACUGACAACAGGUGUAAUGCUUGAAAUUCAUGAUUUUGCCAAUGAAUUAUGUGCGUCAUCUAAGGAGAUUGUUGUUCGUGUCAUUAAACACCAUUUCCAUCUUGACUUGGAAAACGAACAAUUGCUACGCUCCGAAAAUAUUGGGAACAGACUAAAGCGGUUACCAAAACGGAAAGAUAUGAAAGAGAAACUCCUGAAGGAACCCUUCACAUUCACCAGUCCAGUCCAAAAGCCCCGCCGGAAAACAGCUGCUAAAGGAACUAUGCCUAAUGCAUCACUUGUGUCAAAGUAUCAAAGAUUGAAAGAAAUCUCAGAAAGAAGACGAUUGGAUGUAAAGGAAAGGAAAGAGGAAAAAAUUGCCCUGAUGGCAAAUGAGAAAAAGAAACCAGCCAAAAGGUUUCCAAAGUCUCAGGCGACUUGUCAGGUCAAAGAAACCUGGUCAAUGAACUCAGUCCCAAAAAUACCCACAAGGGCAGGCCUGUAGGAGCUGGGUAUAAUUGAGACACUCAAGGCCAACUGAACUGUCGACUUGUGAGAACUCUGAAACCAAUAACAGGAAAGAGGCCUCCCCAACCUAGGUAGGGGAGUAAUUGUUAGAAAUGGCUAGGCUUGCAGAAGAUAAUGAGAACUAUGUGUUAGUAUUGUGGAAAUAUACAGCCCACCUAAAGAGAGGUGGAGUUUCUACUGAUGUGAGUUCAUUUGUGUGUGUGUGUGUGUGUGUGUGUGUGUGUGUGUGUGUGUGUGUGUGUGUGUGUGUGUGUGUGUGUGUGUGUGUGUGUGUGUGUGUGUGUGUGUGUGUGUGUGUGUGUGUGUGUUAUAAGAAGAUUGUGUUCUCAUUUUGAAGUCAGAGUACUCUCUGAAUAAAGCAUUAAUCUAUUGCAGAAUCUGAGACUUUGUCUAAUUCUUCAUUAAAUCUGAGUUUCACGACCUCUGGGGAAAUAGACAAAGUUUGAGUGAUAGUUGAGUUCAACCAUUGGGAUAAAAAUUCUUGUGACAAAUGUCACACUUAUGAAAAAGCAAAGUUUAGUCAGAAAAAUGUACUUGCCGACAUAUACCCACAGGAGGAAUCUGAUCUUCACUCUGAGCUCACAGCGCAAGCCUCCGACCCAGAAGACAGCCAAGUAGACAUGUUUAGGAAAAUUAUCCUGGAUGUAGUCAUGAACGAUGAAGUGGACCAGAGGAAGAUCUUUACCAAAAUGAUUAUAUGUGUUGGUGACCCGGCUGCCGCAGAGAGGAAAUUCAAGCAAAUCUUAACUGAAUACAGAUCAAAGAUUUUGCCACACAUGGUUGAGCAAUAUCAUGCCUAUACUGAUGCUGAAAAGGUAAUGCUGUCCCUUGUGAAUGAGCUGUUCUGUGGCUUACAUUUGAUUGACGGCUUAGCUCACCAGGCAAAAACAACUCUUCUACUGUGGGAAAAGCAGAUUUUUGGAGAUAAGGAAGCUGGUGGCGCCCCUAGCUUUGGGAUCACAGAAUUGGAGUCUGGAACAGUGCGCUUGGUGAGAUCUAUGUGUGAUGCUGUCCAAGCCAAAGGGCGUGCAAAGGAUGACAGGUUUGGGAAAUUCUAAACCUUUUUGACCGGCAAAGGAGAAUUUGACGAGGUUCGUUUGGUUUCAUUCAGAGGAAAUAGACUUGACACACUCUUUCAUAAUGCUGCAGGGGUGUACAGCAUCCAUGAUGAUUUGGUGGAGUUUACCAGUGAUUACAUAGUGGACAGUAGUUUUGUCAAAGGAGUUGCUGCUGAUUUGGAGGUUCCACAGUUCAAGGCUGGAUUCAGAGCUCUGGGUCUGAUUUCUAAGAUAAUCAUGGAUCCUCUCUGGAGAGCCUUGACCUUGAAGGGCAACAUAUUGAAAAUGGAAGCACGAUAUCAAACCCUUGUUACCAAACUCUAGGAGUGGCAGGAGGAUGGGAGACAGAUUGUUGAGGGAAAUGCGUGCUUGUUUGAUGACAAUGAUGUGCCCAAGGACCUUGUGUUUGACAGGCUUACCAUUUGGAAAGACACAGACUUUUAUGAGUUGACAGUUCAGAUCGUUGAAUUGCUACUUGCUAGUUGUCUGAGGAUAUGUGGCAAGAUGCUGUCUAGUAAUCCUCAUUGCAGGUAUGUUCUGCCAACAGAUGAGCUGAGAGCCAAGCUGAGGUCAAUGCCAAAGAAAGAUGCCAGCCUGCAGAGAGAUGUUGGCCUCUUGGAGCAUCUACAAAGGGCUAAAUCGGGAGCCAUUGGCAUCGCACUGGAGGCCAUGGUCAUGUUCAAGGGGAGUCGCACCUGGGAUUGGCUUCAGUCUUUGGACAGAGAAAAAAGAACGUCAGUGCUGAAAGCACUUCAGCAGGCAGUUAAGCAAAAAAAAGUGUUGGCAACAGAGCGCUCAAGUCUCCAGAAUGGGAAAGGCAACCGCACGAAAGCAGUUGUGAAGCCUGGACAUGCUGCCACUGAGAAACAACAGAAAAUUGCUGAACAGAACAUUGAGGGAAUGACAGUGAAGUCAGAGGAGAGGGAUUCCGGGCUUGAGAUUGCAGUUGCCAGACCUCAACAAUCACCCCUACAGGGUGAAAGCACAAUGACAGUGAAGUCUGAGGAGAUGGAGAGGGAAGUAGCAAGACCUCAACAAUCAGCCCUACGGGGCGAAGUGAGUCCUGCUGAAAAUACUUGUUGUAGAUAAACAGAAAGCUAUGGAGCAUGAACAACACCAUCCAGGUGGACACUAUACCAUGAUGAAACAUGAUUUGAUCAGAGAGUUAGAGAAGUGUGGUGGUUUGUGGGAGAAAGAGGAUGAUAUGGAUGAACAUUUGGCUUUAUUAGAUAAACAUGAUAGGUAUUCUGCAGUUAUCUGCCAACUUCAGUUCCGGAAAUAUGUCCUUUGUAUGAAAAAUGAGAACGGGCUUCUCAAUGUUUCAGUUGCCAGCAUAAAACUUAGCUUUGAAGAACUUGUGACAAAUUUGGGGUCAUUUAUCUCAAAGAUCAACACCUCUGAAGAAGUCAAAGCCCGCAGUCUGAAACGAAAAGCAGACACAACUGAGACAUUGCCCGACAAACCAUCCAAAAAGAUGGUGAAAGUGGCUGAGAAUGUUGUGGGCAGGGUUUCAAAGUGUGCCACAGGUGUGGUUAGGGAUACAGAGCCAAUGAAGAGCUACACACCCAGAAAACAAAAACAUUGCCUACCUGCUGAAGUUACUGUUCAGGUGGAUUAACAUGAAAAAGGGCGGGAGAUCCUCUAGAAAAGUAGCACUCACAAAGCCAGUACACAUCCAGUAAUGAAGAGAACAGAGAAAAACACGAGAUUUUAGUGAAACUAAGACCACAGAUCUAAUUGUAUUAUGACUAGGUCUACUAAAUGGGGGAAAAAGGUUGUUUAGUCUGACAAAAAUACCAUUUCCUAGGCUUAAGUUUUCAUCAGUGUUGAAAGCAGAUGUGUCUUUAGAAUCUUAUAGACAGAUGUAUCAGUAGUGACUGAGCUGUAUAAAUUGUCACAAUGUGUAGAUGGGAACGUGAAACAACUAAUGCUUUUACUUUAUUUAAACUUUAUACCAGCAAGAAUUUGGACUAUGAGCUGCUUCCAGUGUUGACUUAGGCCAUAUUCAGCACAAUUCACAAUGGUCAAACCUAUCCGUGAUUCUAACCAGGUUACAGGAUAGAGGAGAAAGAAGUGUGUCUUUUGAGAGAGACAAUCUACCUACUUGACCCAUUUAAGGCCUUUUUUUUUUGCAUUUGUCUAUCAAAAUCAUUUUAGUUGGGAAAGGAAGGUUAGUGGGUAAGGUGAACUGGGAAAGAUGACCCUUGGCUUCCUUCAAAGUCCUUAUCACUUCUAUGGAUAUCAAGUUGUCUGUUAAGAAGCCGUACCUUGGAAAGUCAUUACAGGAAUUGGACAGAAAAACCUAUGAGACAUUUUUAUUUUUGUUCAUUUUUCUUUGGAUGGACUUGAAUUGUGAAUUUUCCCCAUGGCAGUUGAUCCUUGGGAGAGAACAAAAGCUCAUCUACAGUAUAGGAGACAAAAUCAGUGAGAAAUGACAAUCAUCAUUUUAGCCUUGUUUUUAUUUUUUGGUUUGAUUUUCCCGAAGACGAUACUUCAGAAUUGUUCAAGUUUUACCACUGACGUUUUGGAAAGAAUCUGUUAAAGGGGGAACUGUCCUUGGUGAAGGGGCACUCCCACUGUGGUACAAGUGUAACUCUUUGUUUACCUUGGAUGCUGUAAUCGCUCACCUGCUGUGGAACAGAAAAGGUAAACAAUCCCAGUGACAUGAUUCAUGUAUGCAGCAUCUCCUGACCAGCAAUACGGUUAUCUGAGUGGUCAUCUCAGUCUUGUGUCCACUGUUCACAAUAGAAUACCUCAAGACCUAAAAAAGGUAGUUGGAUAAAUGCACCAUCUCUACAACCCAUGGAUCCAGGCCAGGGGCAGUAGAUACCACCAUCUCUACAACCCAUGGAUCCAGGCCAGGGGCAGUAGAUACCGCCGCCUUUCAAACACCUGGGAUGACAUAUCUGCAGGUUUCUCUCCUCAGUCUGUAUCCAGAGAGUCCCUCAUCCUCUUUGUGCCAGGAUAAGGAUCUUAGACCUUGUCCUUGGUGUGGUUUUGGACCAACUCUGUUUCUGUAAAGAAGACACCUUGUCUGCAUCAUCACACGGCCAACAGACAGCCAACUGACUGCCUCUGGCCUCCAUGCCUGUGUUUCUGUCCGCUUAGAGGACUGACUGACUGUUCUGAGACCUGUUGUCCCACAUUCCACUGAUUCAUUCCACAGCAGAACCACGACUGAUUAGGAUGUUACAGGACAAAAGAGACUCAUCUGUGAGUAGAGACUACAGCACCCACAAAGCAUUGCAGCUUCCCUUACUGACACUUGUAGGCCUACUUGCACUGCCUGCUUUUACUACUGUCUCAAGGUAAUUUUUUUCUGAGUUAAUGUUCUGUAAAUACUCCCAGGUUUGGUGUUUCAGAUGUUCAUGGUCUAUGUUACCAGUUUUACACUGUGUGGACUUGGGGUUUUUGUUCUCCAG
rnacentral:lncRNA from 1 species